UACGUAGGUGGCAAGCGUUGUCCGGAUUUACUGGGUGUAAAGGGUGCGCAGGCGGAUCUGUAAGUCAGAGGUGAAAUCUCACAGCUUAACUGUGAAACUGCCUUUGAUACUGCAGAUCUUGAGUUCGGGAGAGGUUGAUGGAAUUCCAGGUGUAGCGGUGAAAUGCGUAGAUAUCUGGAAGAACACCAGUGGCGAAGGCGGUCAACUGGCCCGUAACUGACGCUCAGGCACGAAAGCGUGGGUAGCAAACAGG
rnacentral:rRNA from 1 species